rnacentral:rRNA from 1 species
CGGCGGACGGGUGAGUAACACGUGGGUAACCUACCUAUAAGACUGGGACAACUUCGAGAAACCGGAGCUAAUACCGGAUAAGAUAUCGAACCGCACGGUUCGAUAGUGAAAGAUGGUUUUGCUAUCACUUAUAGAUGGACCCGCGCCGUAUUAGCUAGUUGGUGAGGUAACGGCUCACCAAGGCAACGAUACGUAGCCGACCUGAGAGGGUGAUCGGCCACACUGGAACUGAGACACGGUCCAGACUCCUACGGGAGGCAGCAGUG